GUGUCCCAGAUAGCGCAGUGGUUAACGCACCUGCCUAGUAAGCAAGAGGUCCCGGGUUCGAAUCCCGGUGCGUACA